rnacentral:lncRNA from 1 species
CUUGGACUUAGACUUAGACAUCGAUAGACAUUAAUAUUCAUAGCAUUUAGAUUGACACUUAUAUUCAACAAACAACAUCAUACUGGAUUGUGACCGUAAUAUUCAGAUUGGAUUCCGAAAGAUAUCCGGAUACAGAUAAAGAUAAAAGAUUGGACUCACAUUUUGACAGUUAAGUUGACAGUAAUAUUUGUGUAAUACUUCUUGUAAACUUUUGUAUAAUAAUUAUUGUUAAAUUUUUUUAUUGAUUUGUGUCUUUUGUUGGCUACAAUUUAAAGGCGAUUUCUGGCCGUAACACAUAACUACAAAACUCUGAGGAAAAUUAAAAACGGAAAGUCUAAAAUCAAAUGGCAAAAAUCAAAAGCCCAAACACAUCAAACAAAUGGAUGACAACUGUCAUAUUCCUGACUUGGAACAGCCAUUUUCUCAAAAGAUGGAAGACUGUUAAAGAAAAUGAUUUUAAAUUUUCAUUCAAGGCUGUCAAUAAUUGUUCCAUAAAUGAUAGACAUUAUUUAUAGAAUAACUAAUCGAAGAAUUCAAAUAGAGAAAAAUAUUCAACAAGUGACCGAACAACACAUUAAUUCCCUGAUGUGUGCAGUGCAUGAGUUAAUUAUCAGUGUUGUUUGGUCACGAGUUGAAUAUUUUCGAUAUUUGAAUUCUUUGAUUAGUUAUUCUUUUUAUUACAUUGGCAAAUGGCCUUUUUUAUGAAAUUAAAGUAGAAAAUGUAAGGAACUAUAUCUUUUUCGACGCAUUCACAAUUUGUUUUAACCCGAGGUUAUCCACGUCUUGACAACGCCUAUUGUUGUAUGAUGUCAGAGGAAUGAAAUAACCACGUUUAUUUCACAUGUGAAAUUAUCAGUUUUUAUUUCACUGGGAAAUCAAUUGCAACCAAUGUAAUAAUUUUGAAUAAUUAUAAGCAUCAAUGAAAAUCAACUGUUUUUGAACAAAAAAUUUGAAUCAACAGGAAAUUGUC